UGGGUAAGGUAAGAUUGCUCUAGACCCGAGGUUAGCCUGCUAAGUUUAGCCUCUAGAAUGCGUGUAUUGAUUUUGUUUUAUAUGUAACCCUUCUGUUUCCAUUAUCAUUACUCACUAUCUCUUGAAUCUUGAUCUUUGAUAAUAAACCUAUUAUGGUUUUCACCACAAA